GAUUUGCAGAAUAACCUUCUAUCGGAUAUUUCCAGUAUUCUGAACCUCCCACCAAUGUGAGUUUAAGGCUACAAGGAAUCCUUUGUGUUCAAGUGCCAACCAGUUCAAUGUCACACAAUUUUGUGGACCCCGUCCUGAUGACAAUGUGGACUCUUUUGGAGGCACUUCUAACUCCACAAAUGUUUCUCGAGUCCAGCUUGGUGUAUUUAGACAAUGCAGCUACAUCUCAAAAGCCAUAUGAUGUUUUGGAAGAUGGACACCACAAUAUUCAUUACUUAAGUGUAGUGGGCUGGGCUAUGUCGAGAAUAUAAUCAGGGUCUCUAUCAGAUCUCAACCUGGAAUAGCUGCCACAUCCCUAACUAUGCCUUUUAUAAUCAGCAUGAACAUAAACCAUGAGAAGAGAAUUGGUUUUGUUGAUACUCUAGCCAUCUAGAAUCUGCAAUACAACAUCAGAUUGGGCAGACCUACACGCAAGGGUGCGUGCCUUUUUCCCUUUCGAGGAGGAAAAAGACGUUCAUUUCCCCUUCUUGUUGCCUCCCUUUCCAAGUGCUAGAAGGAGUGCUUCCACUGGGUCUUGUACGUGUUCCUCUUCUCCUUUGAUGGACGUUGGCUCCUUCUCUCGGUGAGAUCACGCCACGCGGGUGGAUUUUCCGAUCCUAAACCAGGUUUCGCUCUUCUCUCUUGAUCUUUGGAGGUCUCUUUCAUCUCUCAAUUCUGCGGGAGGUGCAGGUGUCUUGGAACCAGUGAUGCACCGGAGCAUCCCAGGAGCGGGUCUCCGACAACCAUUCACUAAACCAUAGUAAAAGAUGGAAGGAAUCUGAAUAUUUAGGUGGCAUGUUUAUUCCUGUUGGUGGUAUCUCUUACUACUUUUGCUUAUUGAUUUCCUUGCAUUUAGGGUAUCUUGGUGUUGUUUUACCUCUGUUUCUCCAAGCAAUAUUAUUCUUUUUGUCCUCUUCUCAUUACAUAAUUUGUCUACAAAUCUAAUAACUUGAAGAUGCAUUGCAGCCUGGCAGAUAUGGCAGCCAAUCCAUUCCAU